rnacentral:rRNA from 1 species
UACGAAGGGGGCUAGCGUUGCUCGGAAUCACUGGGCGUAAAGCGCACGUAGGCGGCUUCUUAAGUCAGGGGUGAAAUCCUGGAGCUCAACUCCAGAACUGCCUUUGAUACUGAGAAGCUUGAGUCCGGGAGAGGUGAGUGGAACUGCGAGUGUAGAGGUGAAAUUCGUAGAUAUUCGCAAGAACACCAGUGGCGAAGGCGGCUCACUGGCCCAUUACUGAACGCUGAGGCACGAAAGCGUGGGGAGCAAACAG